rnacentral:sRNA from 1 species
GCCAGGAGCAGCGGUGCACGCCUGUAAUCCCAGUGGCUCGGGAGGCUGAGGCAGGAUGAUCGCGCGUUCAAAGCCAGCCUCAGCAACGGCGAGGUGCUAAGCAACUCAGUGAGACCCUGUCUCUA